ACCGGCGCACGGGUGCGCAUGCGUAUCGUACCUAGCUUUUACUUAGGUUUAGCCUUUAUGCAUGUCGAUUAUUGCCUCAGGGUUUUUCUCAGGUAAAGAUUUAGGUGGGUUAGAUGGGCGUGCCGCCCAUGUGCGCCGUGGUAAGGUAACGGCUGACCAAUGCAGCGAUUCGUCUUGGUUGUGUUAGGGAGAUCGCCCGCGUUGGUACUGAGACACGGACCAGACUCAUACGGGAGGCAGCAGUGAGGAAUAUUGGACAAUGGAGGAGACUCUGAUCCAGCCAUGCCGCGUGUAGGAAGAAUGCCUAUGGGUUGUAAACUACUUUUAUACAGGAAGAAACACUGGUAUGUAUACCAGCUUGACGGUACUGUAAGAAUAAGGACCGGCUAACUCCGUGCCAGCAGCCGCGGUAAUACGGAGGGCCCGAGCGUUAUCCGGAAUCAUUGGGUUUAAAGGGUCCGCAGGCGGUCGAUUAAGUCAGAGGUGAAAUCCCAUAGCUCAACUAUGGAACUGCCUUUGAUACUGGUUGACUUGAGUCAUAUGGAAGUAGAUAGAAUGUGUAGUGUAGCGGUGAAAUGCAUAGAUAUUACACAGAAUACCGAUUGCGAAGGCAGUCUACUACGUAUGUACUGACGCUGACGGACGAAGGCGUGGGAAGCACUCAGAUAAGAUACCCUGGUAGUCCACGCCGU
rnacentral:rRNA from 1 species